CUCCUACACAAAAUUAUGUGCUUUAUGAGCUAAAACGCUUAAAAUGCACACAAUUUCCUCCUCCAUCGCACAAGGACCGAAGGUAAAGAGUGAGAUUACUUUCGAUGGAGAACUGUGAAUCGUGACAUGUUGGCAUUGACUUGCUGUUCAUCAGUGCAAUUGUACAACACGGGCUGUUCUUAUGGUACCCAGAGUAGUGGUGAUGCUUCUAGGGGCAAGGCCCCCGCCUUGGAAUAGUGGAUGACGCUGCUGAUUUAUCUUUAUUAUGUUUAGACUCUAUGAUGACAUGUAUAUUUAUUAACAUAUUCGAUUAUCUUAUGUUGAGAUUAUGCUAUGUAUUUAUUUAGGCUCAUGAUUGUAGUAUUGGAGCCAUGAAUUAUUUACCGAUGCUUAGACGCGUUUGAAAUUAAUAUAGACUUGAUGUAUGUUUUCCGUUA